rnacentral:rRNA from 1 species
CCUACGGGAGGCAGCAGUGAGGAAUAUUGGUCAAUGGACGAGAGUCUGAACCAGCCAAGUAGCGUGAAGGAUGACUGCCCUAUGGGUUGUAAACUUCUUUUAUAAAGGAAUAAAACGAGGCACGUGUGCCUUUUUGUAUGUACUUUAUGAAUAAGGAUCGGCUAACUCCGUGCCAGCAGCCGCGGUAAUACGGAGGAUCCGAGCGUUAUCCGGAUUUAUUGGGUUUAAAGGGAGCGUAGAUGGGUUGUUAAGUCAGUUGUGAAAGUUUGGGGCUCAACCGUAAAAUUGCAAUUGAUACUGGCAGUCUUGAGUACAGGUGAGGUAGGCGGAAUUCGUGGUGUAGCGGUGAAAUGCUUAGAUAUCACGAAGAACCCCGAUUGCGAAGGCAGCUUACUAAACUGUAACUGACAUUGAUGCUCGAAAGUGUGGGUAUCAAACAGGAUUAGAUACCCGAGUAGUC